rnacentral:rRNA from 1 species
UUGCUGGAGGUAUCAGAAGUGCGAAUGCUGACAUGAGUAACGACAAUGGGUGUGAAAAACAUCCACGCCGAAAGACCAAGGGUUCCUGCGCAACGUUAAUCGACGCAGGGUUAGUCGGUUCCUAAGGCGAGGCUGAAAAGCGUAGUCGAUGGGAAACAGGUUAAUAUUCCUGUACUUCUGGUUACUGCGAUGGAGGGACGGAGAAGGCUAGGCCAGCUUGGCGUUGGUUGUCCAAGUUUAAGGUGGUAGGCUGAAAUCUUAGGUAAAUCCGGGGUUUCAAGGCCGAGAGCUGAUGACGAGUCGUCUUUUAGAUGACGAAGUGGUUGAUGCCAUGCUUCCAAGAAAAGCUUCUAAGCUUCAGGUAACCAGGAACCGUACCCCAAACCGACACAGGUGGUCGGGUAGAGAAUACCAAGGCGCUUGAGAGAACUCGGGUGAAGGAACUAGGCAAAAUGG